rnacentral:lncRNA from 1 species
UUUUUUUUUAUUUUUUUAAAUGUAUUUAUUUAUUCAUGAGACACACACACACACACACACACACAGAGGCAGAGACACAGGCAGAGGGAGAAGCAAGCUCUAUGCAGGGAAACUGAUGUGGGACUUGAUCCCAGGACUCCAGGAUCAUGCUCUGGGCCGAAGGCAAGCACUAAACUGCUGAGCCACCCAGGGAUCCCCCACUUCAAUCUUUAUUUCAUCACUUCAUCCUAUUUGUCAUUUAUCCCCUGUCAUCACAACACAAUCUUUGGUUCAGGUGUUAUAAUAUGCAUGCCACAGUCAUUUUUCAUAGCAGAGAUAGCUUGAGAGCCAGGUCUUGAAUGAUGGGGGGCAGGAAAUAGGCAAGGACAAAGAUGUCUAAGAAGAAGAUGAUAUAACAGCAGCAAAAGAUGUAGAAAUGAGAAGCAUACCAACGAGCUCAAAAUGGUUAUGACCACAAGUAAGCAGGGUGAUAGGCAAGGUUCCUGGAACUGGGGGCAGACAGACAUAAGAUGUGACCAUUUAGCUAGGAUGUUCUGAGGGAUUCAUGCAUAUGGCAGACACAUCAACCACAUGACUUUUAAAUUUCAUUCUCGAGAUGGGAUUCUUUAACUCUACUUAAUGUUGACCUGAGAAAUUCAGGUUGAGGGACACCUGGAUGGCUCAGUGCUUGAGCGUCUGCCUUUGGCUCAGCACAUGACUCCAGGGUCCUGGGAUCGAGUCCCACAUUGGGCUCCCAGCAAGGAGCCUACUUCUCCCUCGCCUGUGUCUCUGACUCUCUCUGUGUGUCUCUCAUGAAUAAAUCAAUAAAAUCUUUAAAAAAAAAAUUCAGGUUGAAAAUGUAGGCUGUAAGAAGACCUGGGAUAGCCUGAUUAAGAUUGGCAGGCAGGCAGAAGAUAUUAAAGGUCUGGGGCCUGCAGAGUAAUGACCAAAUUGGUACUAAGGAGGUCAACUGGGUGGUGAUGUCCAAGAUGAAUGAUGAAGAAAAGAUGAAAAUUCAGGGAUAUCACUGAAAACUAUCAGCCACAUCCUUGGCAUUCUGGAAGGAAGCUCUGAUGCUGGGCAGUGGCAGUCAAAAGGUAAGAGAGGGAAAGAACACAGUGAUUUUGUGAGGAGAGAAGAGAUGACUCCAUGAUCUAAACAGGUGUGAUGGAGGAAAGAGAAGACUCAGAUUCCACUGGCUCCACUAAUAGAACUAAUCCAGUUCAACCAAUUCAAGAGACGGAACAAGUUUAGUUAGAAAAUUGAGUUUGCUUUAAGGCAAACUAAAUUUGAGGUUCAUGUUCACUAGACAAAUGUCUACACAUCCUUCAACUCUCAAACUCCAUCUCCUCUGUGAAGACUUCCCUGACUUAGUGCAACCAGACUUGGCGGCUGUGUCAUCGCUCCCACUGCUGUACCUGAGAGCUCUUCUCACUCUGGUAUUCCUCUUACAGAGUCUGUUCCAUCCCCCAAUCUGUAUUUAAUCUUAUUCUCCAUCCAGAUAACUCCUAUGUAGAAAGGAUUGGGGCCUUUCUUUGAUAUCCUGUAAUAGGCUGAAUUCUGUACCACUUCACCCCACCCCACAAAUACAUAUGUUGAAGUCCUAACUCCCAGCAUCUCUGAAUUUGACCUUAUUUAGGAAUCAGGUCAUUGCAGACAUAAUUAGUUAGCAUGCCAAAGACCUCAGGCUAACCACCAGCAGGUAGGGGAGAAGUGUGGCUCUCACCACCCUCUCAGUACCUUGACCUUGAACUCCCAGCUCCAGAACUGUGAGACAAUGAAUGCCUGCUGUUGCAGCCAGCUAGUCUGCAGUACUCUGUUAUGUUAGCCCUAGCAAACCAAUACACUCAUGUAAAAUUAGAUACUGGUAUGUAAAUAGGAAUUAUGGGAUUCAAUAACUAGAUUCUCCUGAAAUACAAUUUUAAAUCCAUGAGGAAGACAAGUAACAGAUACUAAAUGUGAUUUAUGUAUAUGUUCAUUUGUUUAUUCAUUCGUUAGUCAAACAGGAAUACACUUGCCAGAGAUUUGCUUUCCAGCAUGUUAUUUAGAUCACAUAAUUCAUAGAAGCCCUUACGUUCCAAACAGGGAAGAAUUUGUGUAUUUCCAAACUUCUGGCCCAGUUCUGGGCUGUACCAGAGCACAUUAAACAGAUGAUCUUUCCUAGCAUAUCAUCAGUACCUAAGCAAAAUAGUCCCUGUUCUUGGGUUUCUUUUCUCCUUCUCUUCAUGACUUUGAUUUUGCUUUUACAUUUGGAAAAUAACUGAUAACUAUUUAGCACCCUUCAGAUAUAUCAUAUGGAGAAGAACUCUGGUGAAAAUUGCAAAGCAACAUUUGUAUAAAUCUGCGUGAUAUUUACAUUGUUUGAGAUUAAUGGUAAUGAAAUUGUGCUUAAUGUAAAUUUAGAACAAAGUAUCAAAUAUACACAGUAAUGGUUGUAUUUUCUGAAAUGUAUAAAGCUUGCAUUUCUUUCUUUUUUCUACAUUCAGAUUCACUUGACUGACCACAGAAAAGGAAAAACCAUUGUAUUUACAAAACAGAUCAUUAAAUAUAAUUACAUUUACAAACAAAACUACUUGCGGUCCCAAAUGCCAGGCUCAGAGGCAGAUUAUCAGACAUAAAGAGAACAGUUAUCAGUUUGAACAGUGCUAUUUACCACGCAGCUGCACAGAGGUGAGUGGGGUAAGCAGCAUGCCGCCCCUACUACAUUUACAUUACAACCAAUUAUGUUUGAGAAAAAAAGAGCCAAAAAGCAAGACUCUCCUCCUCUAACAGACAUCUGUGUUAAACACAGGCUUUGCUGAUAAUUAAACUAAGUUGGAUUGCAUUCUAAAAUAUUAUUG